CGUGGCGGCCGCGCUGGCGGGAGGCAGGUGCGCGGCGCUCCGCACCCGGGGCAGUGACAUCACGCCGCCGCCCUGUGCCCGGGGCCCGGAGACAAAGGCGAGCGGCAGCCGCAGCGCGAGGAUGCUGCAGCGCGUUCCCAGGAGCCGCAGCGCCGCCGCCGCCGCCGCCCCACGGCGCUGAGCAGCCCCCGGGCUGGUCGGGCCGGGCAGGGCCGGGCCCCCUCCCAUGCGGUCGAGCCGGAGCCGGAGCCGGGGCCGUGCCCGGGGCAGCCGAAGGCGGCGCGCAGUAUGCCCUGGGGGGUCGGCCUGGCCUCCUCCCGGUGCUGCGUGGUGGGGCUGAGCCGCAACCAGAGCCUGUCCCUCGGCCUGUGCGCGGGAGCCGACGAGCCCGACGCCUUUUAUGGGGAAAUCAUCGCCUUCCCUUUGCAGGACUACGGCGGGAUCAUGGCCGGGCUGGGCUCCGACUCGUGGUGGAAGAAGACGCUGUACCUGACCGGCGGGGCCCUGCUGGCCGCCGCCGCCUACCUGCUGCACGAGCUGCUGGCCAUCAGGAAAGAGCAAGAGGUUGAUUCAAAAGAUGCCAUUAUACUGCAUCAAUUCUCAAGGCCCAAUAACGGUGUUCCAAGUUUAUCUCCUUUCUGUUUGAAAAUGGAAACUUAUUUAAGGAUGGCUGAUUUGCCCUACCAGAACUAUUUUGAUGGAAAACUUUCCCCUCAAGGGAAAAUGCCCUGGAUUGAAUACAACCACAAAAAAGUAUCUGGCAGUGAGUUCAUUAUUGACUUCUUGGAAGAGAAACUUGGAGUGAAUUUAAAUAAAAACCUUGGUCCACAUGAAAGAGCUGUUUCUAGAGCAGUGACAAAAAUGGUGGAGGAGCACUUCUAUUGGACACUGGUGUAUUGUCAGUGGGUGGACAAUCUCCAUGAGACUCAGAAGAUGCUUUCAUUUACUGGCCCCUUCAGUGACCUGUUGAAGUGGAUUUUGUGCCAUCUAACAAAAGGAAUUGUGAAACGAGAAAUGUAUGGCCAUGGUAUUGGCCGCUUCUCUGAGGAAGAGAUAUACAAGCUGAUGGAGAAAGACAUGCGGUCUCUAGCAGGCCUUUUGGGUGACAAGAAGUACAUCAUGGGACCAAAGCUUUCCACUGUUGAUGCCACUGUCUUUGGUCAUCUAGCACAAGCAAUGUGGACAUUGCCAGGCACAAGGCCUGAGAGACUAAUCAAAGGUGAACUCAUUAAUCUUGCUAUGUACUGUGAAAGGAUAAGAAGGAAAUUCUGGCCCGAGUGGCACCAUGAUGAUGAUAAUACCCUGUAUGAAUCUGAGGAAAGUAGUGAAAUGAGCAAGGCUCAGACUCCAUUGCAGGACUUCAGCUUUUACUCAAGGACAGAAACAUUUGAUGAGGAAGGCACAGAGAACAGUAUUUCCCAUACCCCCGACACGGAUUACACUGGUCACUCUCUCUUUGAUUCUGACGUGGACAUGGAUGACUACAGAGAUCAUGAACAAUGCAAGUGAGACAUACAGAUGCCUCCCCUUUUCUAUCAGAAAUGCCACCUCUUGGGAUGGUUUGAUCUUUCCCGAGGUUCUGAAGAGGUUAAUGCCAGUUUGGAAGAAAUCAUUGUGCUUGACAUGGGUGUCACAUGCUACCUGGACAAUGUCCUCCUUAUUUCAUUUUGUAAAACCAUUUAGAUGGAACUAAGGUAAACAAUUAAAAAAAUAUAGGCCAACAAGAGGUCCAGAGCAUCACAGGAUUUUUAGAGCUACAGUGUGCUCUCACCAAAAAAAUAAAACAGAUUUCAGAAUCAUGUGAGCAGACUCUGCAGCAGGUGGAAGAGACCCUGCAGCAGGUGGAGAGAGUUUGUGAGAGCUGGUUUGUGUUCAAGGUCCUGUCUUCAUGCAUAAAAGUUGAAGAUGGAAAGGGAAGAGAGGUUACAGGAAUUCCUCUCUCUCUCCGUGGCUGAUGAGAUAUAUGGAGUUGAAAGCUGUCAGAGAGCAUCUUUUUCCCCACUGUUGUUUUUCUCCUGUUCUGCCCCCUGGUUUAAUAUCCUUUCCCUGACGCCUGCAAGUGACUUUUCCAUGGCUGAUGAAGCUUGGCUGAGACUGGAGCCUCUCAGCUGUGCUCCUGGACUGGCCAGAGGACACGUUGCAGAGUGACAUUAAGAAUGGGUCUAAGGGCCUUCAACUCCCGAUGAAAAUACUUGAUUCUGAAGGACUGCCUGCGCCGUGAUCAGGGUCUGUACAGACUCACAGUGUUUGACCUGGUCAUCAGAGCUGGGUCUCUGGGUCUGUGAGGGAAAAUGCUGAAACUGGGGCCACCAGUUAAUUCAAGGAGUAUAAUUAGUAGUUUGGAUUAAUCAUUUGUUCAUCAGUAUCAGUCUUUAUGAACUUGAUUCUAGCACAGACUUCAUCCCAAUCCAUGCAUGUACAUGUAUUCCCUUCUCUGUACAGAAAAAGGACCCAGGUGCCUCUUCUGCUCUACCCAGUCCCCCUCUGUCUGGUAGGCUCCUCACGCAGUAUGGGAUUACAUAGGAAGAUGAGAUAGCUUUAAAUGGACAAAGGAUGUUUCCUAGUAAAGGUUUCCUUCCCUCAUUUUGUAAUGGAAGGAAACAGUCUGAACCUCUGAUCUUAGUCUGGUGGUAUGUGAAUAUAACUCCACUGACUGCUGGAGCCACUACUGUCCCAAGUAAGAAAAAUAGAUUCUGGCUCAUUGUUGCUGAGAGUCAGAAUAUUUUUCCUUUUCAUUCUGUUCCUUUUUAAUAUAACAGUACCAAUUUUCUAAUUCUUGGUUUUGCAAAAGUCUCUUAGCAGAAUAAAUACAUAUUUCUAACCUCCCUUUUCCAUUUGGCAAAUGUCAACUUUGAUCCUUCAGUUUGAAUAAUGUUGAAAUGUUUGGGUUUUGUUGCUAUUGCAAUGUCAUAUUGUAGAGCUUGGUUUCAUGUCAGAGUGGAUUUGUUUGUAAACAGUAGCAUCAUCAGCUGGGGCUACCAAGCUCCUUGCUUCUGAGUAAAGUCAGCAGAGAAAACAUACUUCUGGUUUUAUAGGUCUUACAAAAAAAUCACAUAAAUGUGAUUUAUUUAAAAGCCAAAUCAAGCUUGAUGUUUCAAAUCUGGGGGACUGUCCCCAUCCAAUUAUAACACUGUAAGUCCCACAGUUUGAUCUUCAAAUCCUUGACAGUGUCCCUUCAAAUCCAUUUUCUUUUUGAAGAAUAUUGCCUGAAAUAUUUUGCAGCAACAGUCUAGGCACAAAUUUCCUUUUGUCAGUGAUGUCUGCUCAAGUAAUCAUGACAGUUUCAUGCUGCUUCCAUUGAAAGGGUUUUAUCUGUCAAGUAUUAAGAAGCCUUGCAACAUAUUGCCUGCUGGAAAAGUGUGUUAUGUGCAAAGAUUUAUGCAGGGUUGUUCACCAAGCAAAAUUUCUGUGGGAGGGGAUGAAUUCAAGUGGAUCUUGACCUUAGAUGCUGGAAUAAUAACACAAGACCUUUAUCUUUAGAUACUCUAGCUACACUCUGUGCAAGAGAAAAAAAAUACCUGUAUAUCUGUGCAAAAAUUGUGGAUUUGCAUCUGGGUACCAUGUGGGCUAUACUUUGUAUAAAGCAAGUUAGGCUCAUAGAGGAUCAGAAAGCAAAUUAUUUUUGUUAAUUGCAAAAUCAUGUUACACACCAUGAUGCCUGAGAGGUGGAAACAAGUGUAUAUAGUACGGUAGCACGUUGCACAAAUACAGUUUUGGGGAAUGUCAAAGUAGCAUAAUCCAGGCAUUGGCAACAUAUGGCCUGCAGGCUGCAUCCAUCCUGCUGAGCCAUUGGAUCUGGACUGUGGAGCUGCAGGGCUUUGCCUGUGCCCACACCAGGGCCAGGAUGCAGGGAGGUGUCCCAGGGCUAGGCAGCUGUGCCCAUGUCAUUGCUGCCUCUCCCCACCCUCCCAGCUCCAUUCUGACAUGGUCUGAGUGGUUCCCAUGGCAUAUCAGCAGUGGGAGGCUUUGCCUGCAGCUGGGCUAGGCAGCUGGAAGCUGCGCCUACACACUGCUGCUCCCAGCCCCCCUGCUUCCUGGCUGCAGUGCAGGAGCAUCUCCCAGACCGUGGGGAGCUGCUUUGGGACUGUGGGUGCAGCUGUGCCUGCAUUACAGCCUAGGGGGAAGGCGGGGGGAGAGAAGUGGAACCAUCACAGAUGCAGUUUGCAGCUACCUAGUCCCAGUGCAACCCCCCACUGACUGGAAGCUGCACCCACAGUGUAGCCAGGGGAGCAGGUACUGGGAGAAGUGGCAGCAUGGGGUGUGGGGAAAGCAUCCCAUUGCUGAUGUGCUACCAAAGCUGCCUGAUGUGCAGUGGAGCAAGGCUGGGUUGUUCCGGCCUGUGGCUUGUAAAAGAUUACAGGCCCCCAGUACAAUGUGAUUUUCCACACCUUCUCAAAGAUGAUUGAGCAGACCCUUCUAAGGAUCUGGUUACAGAAUGUAUAGUUUUCAGUAGCUUAGUAGUACCAUAAGUGUCAGAGAUUUUUUAGAGCCACAUAGGUGUUAACUAGUAUGCAAGACAGUCAGUCCUUAGGCUAUUCUACUCUGCUUGUACUAGAGAAUAGUCUGUGUGCCUGUAAAUGAAUGUUAGUACUGGUAGGAGCCUUUUUGAACUGGACUUGUUUUGGCCGCAUUGCAGCGGCUUCAGUUUUACACUUCUUAGUGAACAUGAUCCAGUGAGGUACCUUCAAAUCCCAUUGAAACCAAUAGCAGCUGGAGGCAUUCAUUACCUCUCCAUGCCUGACAGGAUCAGGCCCAUUAGUGUGGACUAUGAAGGGAACCUGAUUUUUAAACUACUAACUCUGGUCUUCACUUCUUUGCCUUAGUGGAGAAAAGUACACAACAUUAAUCAGCUUGGACUCAGCAGUUUUAAGGAAUCCUUUCUUUGAUGGUCAUCGUGGAGGGCUUCGCUUUCAUUCCUUUCCUGUACUCAGUAAUGUAAAGUAUGUCUUAUCAGCAGAGAAUUUGCAGUUCCUUGAUUCAGUGUUUAGAAAAGAACUGAAGUAUGUGUGUACAGCACAGGGAUCUUUAUAUAUAAAAUACUUCAUGUGAAAUCUAUAAGGCUAAAUCUUUACAGCCAAAUCCUGUUUGCCUUAGUCAUGUGCUUUAAGACCAGAAAAGACAGAUGUGAUAAUUUAUUCUGACCUCAUGCUGACACACAGCAUAGAAUUUCACUCUAAUUUCCAGACUGAGUCCACUAACUUGAGGUUGAAUUAAAGCAUAUGCUUCAGAAAGAAAGAAAGAAAGUCUGUCUUUCAGUAAUGUGCCUCUAUUGAGAUCAGUGGUAAGGCUUCCAUUAACUUCACUGAGGCCAAGUUUUCACCCAAAGGUUCUGAGUAAGGAAGAAUGUACUAUAACUCAUAUUAAACUGUCCUAUGGGUAAUUACCCUCCACUUAAAACUUAAUUCAAUGUGACUAUUCACUU